CCCUUAGAUGUUCUGGGCCGCACGCGUGCUACACUGAGUGGAUCAGCGGGUCAGGUUGCGCGAAAGCGUUUCCUAAUCUUGAAAUCCGCUCGUGAUGGGGAUUGACGGUUGCAAUUUUCUGUCAUGAACGAGGAAUACCUUGUAAGCGCGAGUCAUCAUCCCGCGCUGAAUACGUCCCUGCCCUUUGUACUCACCGCCCGUCGCUCCUACCGAUUGAGUGGUCCGGUGAGGCUUUGGGAUCUGAGCGGAAAGAGCGUUUCGCUCGUUCUGCCCGGAAAACUCAGUCGAACCUUAUCAUUUAGAGGAAGGAGAAGUCGUAACA
rnacentral:rRNA from 1 species